UAUGUUGACACAAAUUUGUAAUCUGUACUUUAAAAUCUGGGACAGGAGGAUUGUGAGUUCAAAGCCAUCCUGGACUAUAAGGCACACCGGGAUGUUUGGAUUCAUUUACAACGUGCAGUGAUCACAUGCAAAAAGUAGUGAGACUGGAGGAGAGAAACCACCCCUUGCAGUUCAGCCAAGCCAGAGCUGAAUCCUCAGAGGAAUUGGGGAGAUUAACAAGAGUGCUGCUUCCAUGCUGAACCUGAUAAUCAGCACCAGGGUGAAGGCGACAGACCCUGAGGAUACUUAACACCCAC